GGGUCAUAGCUCAGUGGUAGAACACCUGCUUUGCAUGCAGAAGGUCUCGGGAUCCAUUCCUGACAUCUCCA